CAUCUUACUGGGCAGCAUUGGAUGGUGUCAGAGCUCUAAUACUGCCUGGUAAUGAUGAC
rnacentral:pre_miRNA from 1 species